GACGAACGCUGGCGGCGUGCCUAAUACAUGCAAGUCGAACGCAGUGGGGACGGGUGAGUAACACGUGGGUAACCUCCCAUCAGAGGGGAUAACACUUGGAAACAGGUGCUAAACCGAUACUGAUGGAUGAACCCGCGGUGCAUUAGCUAGUUGGUGAGGUAACGGCUCACCAAGGCAAAGAUGCAUUGACGACCUGAGAGUGGGAUCGGCUACACGGGGACUGAGGCAAGGCCCAGACUCCGACUGGAGGCAGCAGUAGGGAAUCUUCGGCAAUGGACGAAAGUCUGACGGAGCAACGCCGCGUGAGGGAAGAAGGUUUUCGGAUCGUAAAACUCGGGUGUUAGAGAAGCGGUAUCUAACCAGAAAGCCACGGCUAACUACGGUCCAGCAGCGGCGGUAAUAC
rnacentral:rRNA from 1 species